GACGAACGCUGGCGGCGUGCUUAACACAUGCAAGUCGAACGGUGAAGGGACCGGUUUUUGCUGGUUCUGGACGAGUGGCGAACGGGUGAGUAACACGUGAGUAACCUGCCCCCUUCUUCUGGAUAACCGCAUGAAAGUGUGGCUAAUACGGGAUAUUCUGCGCCUGCUGCAUGGUGGGUGUGGGAAAGAUAUUGUUUCGGUGGGGGAUGGGCUCGCGGCCUAUCAGCUUGUUGGUGGGGUGAUGGCCUACCAAGGCGGUGACGGGUAGCCGGCCUGAGAGGGUGGACGGUCACACUGGGACUGAGACACGGCCCAGACUCCUACGGGAGGCAGCAGUGGGGAAUAUUGCACAAUGGGCGCAAGCCUGAUGCAGCGACGCCGCGUGAGGGAUGGAGGCCUUCGGGUUGUAAACCUCUUUCGCCAGUGAAGCAGGCCUGUCCCUUUUGUGGGUGGGUUGACGGUAGCUGGAUAAGAAGCGCCGGCUAACUACGUG
rnacentral:rRNA from 1 species